UCCCUGGUAGUUCAGUGGUUAAGAAUCUGCCUUGCAAUGCAGGGAAUGCAGGUUUGAUCCCUGGUCAGGGAA
rnacentral:tRNA from 1 species